UUACUUGCGUUCUUACUAACUUAUUUACUUGUUUACUAACUUAUUUACUUACUAACUUAUUUACUUGCUUACUUACUAACUUAUUUACUUUUUUACUAACUAACUUAUUUACUUACUAACCUGCUUGCUUGCUUGCUUGCUUACUUAUUUACUUACGUGCUUAUUUACUUGUUUAUAUACUUACUGAAUCCUUGCAUCCCAAGGUAUCCGCUACAACCAGCACAUUUUCUUAAUUUAAUUCCGUGUUAGCGUUUCGAUCGAAGACCUUCAUGGGCAACAGAAGCGAAGAUGCUUCUGAGAAAGAUGUUUUUUGUUUCUCUUCUCUGAGGUCAUGUGAUGGUUAUAGGUAGGGACGAUAGGUAGGGACGGGCGGCGUACAGACUUGAAACGAUAUCACGAUAUUUCAUGUUUUUUUGGGGGGGGGGGGUUGCGGUAAGGAUAUAAAUGACGAUGUGAAAGUGGUAACGUUCAACACCAUGUUUCUGGCCUCGGCAGCAGACAGUUUUGAGAGCCGUGCAAACGUGAAUACUGAUCCCGAAAAAAGUCCGGCUUAGUCCUUCAUCAAAUGCUAAACUAUACCAUGCAAGUAGGCUUAAAAAUAUAAUAUGAAACGUGAACACCAAUACAUACUUGCAGGAGUAUAAUAAUAAUAAUAGUAGUAGUAAUAAUAAUAAUAAUAAUAAUAAUAAUAAUAAUAGUAGUAGUAGUAGUAAUAAUAAUAAUAAUAAUAAUAAUAUAAAUCAUCAUCCCAGGAAAAACAAUGGAAACAUUGUAUCUGAAAACCACUUCCACAUUACAGAGGAAGCUCCUUUUGGGGGAUUAAUUCUCCGUCCUCGUCUCGGGUUGGAUCUCUGCUUUCCACCACGCUUUACAAAACUCUCAUCACGGGGAGGAACUGUACCGGUACGUCACGGACGAUACGAUACGGCACAGCCCGAGUUACAGGACACAGAGCCGGUGAAGAGAUAAGGCGUAUCAUGAGAUACAACACUACGUUCCUGUCCCUCUGAAAUCCUCAGGCACGAUAAAGCUUUCGUCUAACCUAUCGUGGUAGGAAUCUAUCAGCGAUUCAUGACGCCGUCAUCAGACGACGCGAGCUAAUUGUGAAACCCGAUACUGCGCGACGACUUCGCCUUAACGUGAUUAACGUACAGCGCACGGCACUCAGGAUGUCCUCCUCCGGCAAGACCGUCUGACUAAACACAUUGCUACUUCUCAUGCGCCUCCGUCUCCUUCCGUUCCCCUCUCAAGGUGUGUCUCCAGACCCUCAGUUCCU
ensembl:lncRNA